GUAGGGAAUGCCUUUAAGGAAACACCUUCUCCCUGCUAUGUGACCCACCAGAAUUGAACAUGGGGAAUGAUGGGGGUAGCAGGUCAUUUUGAAAUGGACCUUCAGGUAGUAUUGGGGGUGGAAAAAUCCCCUUUCUCUGACCACAUUUUGGCCACCCCAGCAACACCACCCCCCAGAGGUGUCAGUGCUUUGUGAUGUCCAAGCCACCCCAGGACUACCAUUGGAUAGGGGUGCCCCAUUCUGACCAAACAAAGCUGAAGGGUGGGGCUCCUCGACACCCAGGGCUGCGUAUACAUAAGGAAGUCAGGAGCAUGGGGUAGACCACCGGGAGGCUUCAAUAUGGCUAAGGAGACCCACACACCAGUGAAGCCCAAAGAAAAUACGAAACAACCAAUUGUAAGCACGAAAAAGCCAACCCCAAGAACCAAAGAGAAGAAGGAAAAGAACUCUUGCCAACAAAAGACCAACAAAACUGGCAAGGUGGAGAAGAAAAUCACAAAGGUAAAAAAACCCCUUCAAAGGAAUUCAAGAAAGAAAACUCAAUCACCUCCUUCCUGCUCCAAAAAGCCUAGGAUAACAAUGAGACCAACAAUAUUUGCGUGUCACCACAAGCAGAAUAAGACGCAAACUAAAACUCAGAAGAGCAAGCACAAAAUACAACGGAAAAUAAAAAUCACAAGAGCAAGCCCAGAAGCCAUUGGCAACAGCAAACCAUCCCAAGUAACCAUCUCUGCUGCCAGUAAAUGCAGAGCCUGGAUCAGAAAUGUACAACUAGCAACAGCAUCUCCAUAGGCAACUCUGGGGAAUCACCAAUCACAUAAAGGCCGAAUCUGAGACCAAGAGUGUUCCACCAUGUUGAUGAACGCAAUAAAAUCAGCACAAUGUGAAAAGAUGAUGUGGACUUUGUCUGUAGUGGGGAGGGGGUUAAGGAAGAAAAACUGGUAAGAGGGAGAGAGGCAGGCUCCUGCAUGGUUGGGGGCCAGACCAACAGGUAUACAGUUAGCCAUCGGGGGGGAUAAGGAGUGGGUGAGGACUAAGAAAUGAAGACUAAUGAACACUUUGCCCCCACAGACAAGAAGAAAAAGGGUUUUGGUGUUUCUACAUGUAUUUA
rnacentral:lncRNA from 1 species